UGGAAUAAUGGAAUAGGACGUGUGGUUCUAUUUUGUUGGUUUCUAGGACCGCCGUAAUGAUUAAUAGGGACAGUCGGGGGCAUCAGUAUUCAAUUGUCAGAGGUGAAAUUCUUGGAUCUAUUGAAGACUAACUACUGCGAAAGCAUUUGCCAAGGAUGUUUUCAUUGAUAAGGAACGAAAGUUAGGGGAUCGAAGACGAUCAGAUACCGUCGUAGUCUUAACUAUAAACUAUGCCGACUAGGGAUCGGACGAUGUUAUUUCUUGACGCGUUCGGCACCUUUCGAGAAAUCAAAGUGCUUGGGCUCCAGGGGGAGUAUGGUCGCAAGGCUGAAACUUAAAGAAAUUGACGGAAGGGCACCACCAGGGGUGGAACCUGCGGCUUAAUUUGACUCAACACGGGGAAACUCACCAGGUCCAGACACAGUGAGGAUUGACAGAUUGAGAGCUCUUUCUUGAUUCUGUGGGUGGUGGUGCAUGGCCGUUCUUAGUUGGUGGAGUGAUUUGUCUGCUUAAUUGCGAUAACGAACGAGACCUUAACCUGCUAAAUAGCCCGUACUGCUCUGGCAGUUCGCUGGCUUCUUAGAGGGACUAUCGGCUCAAGCCGAUGGAAGUUUGAGGCAAUAACAGGUCUGUGAUGCCCUUAGAUGUCCUGGGCCGCACGCGCGUUACACUGACAGGGUCAGCGAGUACCUCCUUGGCCGAAAGGUCCGGGUAAUCUUGUUAAACCCUGUCGUGCUGGGG
rnacentral:rRNA from 1 species